GUCAGUGUGGCACAGUGGUUUGAGCAUUGGGCUACCACCCUGGAGACCAGGGUUUGAUUCCCAGCUGAGGCA